CCCCCAGCUGGGCACCUGCUGCGGAUCGCAGAGGUCACUCACCAUGUUUUUACCCAGUGCAGCUGCCAGGCUCUUGGGAAGCAACAGUGCAUCUUGUCUUGUUCUGCUGCCUGGCAUGCCAGUGCUUCCUCCAAGAAUUUGAAAGACUUAUUGGCUGACCUGAUAGUUAAGGAGCAGGCCAGAAUUAAGACCUUCAGGCAGCGACAUGGCAAGAAGGUGGUGGGCCAAAUCACUGCAGAAGCAAUGUAUGGCGACAUGAGAGGCAUUAAGGGACUGGUGUAUAAAACAUCCGUUCUUGAUCCUCAUGAGGGUUUCUGUUUCCAAGGCUUUAGUAUCCCUGAAUACCAAAAACUGCUACCCAAGGCUAAGGGUGGGGAAGGACCCCUACCCAGGGGACUUAUUUUGGCUGCUGGUAACUGGACAGACCCCAAGAGAGGUACAGGUAUCUUGGCUCUCGAGAGAGUGGGCAAAGAGGGCAGCUCUACCUUCCCAUGUGGUCACCAUGCUGGACAACGUUCCCACCAAUCUAUACCCAUGUUUGAGCUCGUGAAGCCAUGGCAGCCCUAAACAACUUUCCCUGAGCACAUGCAGAGGGUGCCAGCCGAACCAAGUACUGGGAGUUGAUUUAUGAAGACCAUGUAUAUCUAAUCACAAAGCUACCUUGUGUUGCAGCAAAGGUCUACCGAAAUCUCUACUGAGAGGGCAGCAGUAUUGGGGCCACUGACUCUAAGCUGGACUGGUCCCACAGUUUCACCAACAUGUUAGGCUAUACUGAUGCUCAGUUCACUGAGCUCAUGCACCUGUAGCUCACCAUCCACAGUGACCAUGAGCACAGCAAUGUAAGUGCUUAUAGCAGCCACUUGGCGGGCAGUGCCCUACCUACCCUGUCCCUACCCUGUCCUUUGCAGCAGCCAUGAACGGGCUGGCAGGUCCUCUGCAUGGACUGGCAAAUCAGGAAGUGCCUGUCUGGCUAACACAACUACAGAAGGAAGUCGGCAAAGAUGUGUCAGAUGAGAAGUUACAAGACUACUUUCAACUCGAGAUGGGUUGUUCCAGGCUAUGGCCAUGCAGUGCUAAGGAAGACUGAGCCACAGUGUACCUGUCAGCAAGAGUUUGCUCUGAAACACCGCAUAAUGAUCCCAUGUUUAAGUUGGUUGCUCAGUUAUACAAGAUUGUGCCCAAUAUCCUCUGAGAUUAGGGUAAGGCCAAGAAUCCUGGGCCCAAAGUAGAUGCGCAUGGUGGGGUGCUCUCCUGUACUAUAGCAUGACGGAGAUACAUUGCUAUGCGGUCCUGUUUGGGGCAUCACAGGCAUUGGGUGUACUGGCACAGCUCAUCUGGAGCUGAGCCCGAGACUUCCCUCUAGAAAGACCCAAGUCCGUGAGCACAGGUGGUCUGAUGAAGUCUGUGGACUCUAUGUCAGGAUAA